rnacentral:rRNA from 1 species
GUCGAACGGAGCGCUUUUGACAGAGACUUCGGGUCAAAUGGAUAAAGUUGCUUAGUGGCGGACUGGUGAGUAACGCGUGAGGAACCUGCCUUUCAGAGGGGACAACAGUUGGAAACGACUGCUAAUACCGCAUGAUACAUUUGGGCGGCAUCACCCGGAUGUCAAAGAUUUUAUCGCUGAAAGAUGGCCUCGCGUCUGAUUAGAUAGUUGGCGGGGUAACGGCCCACCAAGUCGACGAUCAGUAGCCGGACUGAGAGGUUGACCGGCCACAUUGGGACUGAGAUACGGCCCAGACUCCUACGGGAGGCAGCAGUGGGGAAUAUUGGGCAAUGGACGCAAGUCUGACCCAGCAACGCCGCGUGAAGGAAGAAGGCUUUCGGGUUGUAAACUUCUUUUAAGGGGGAAGAGGAGAAGACGGUACCCCUUGAAUAAGCCACGGCUAACUACGUG